rnacentral:lncRNA from 1 species
AGGGAGGACCAGCUGAGCUGGGUAAUCAAAGCUCUUCUAAUCGCCGCAGCUCUGGAGAUGUGUUCAAAGGCUCUUUCCUGACCACAGGCUGAGCAAGAUAUCUCUGAAGGAAGACAGAAAAAGCAGGAGGAAUGCAAGGACCAAGCUGGAAUUACCCUAGCCCAGAGGCAAAACAUGAAAAUGAAGGUGGACAUACUGAAAUGGUCAGAAACCCACGCCAGAAGUCAGUGCGACGUGGAUGUGCACGGGGCUUCCUAGCCCAUGUUAUGAACAGCCUGCUGCAUGGCCGUCGAAGGAAAUGCUACAGAGUUGAGUCCAGAGAAACAGAGACACAUCAGAAGGAAGUCAUGUUUACAGCUGCACAUGCCUCUCUGCCUGCUGUGAGCUCCUCUGAAUGAUUUCCAGUGUGUGCACUCAUCUCCCAGUGGAAGUCCCCACGGUGGAUAGGAGACAUUUGUAAUGAUUUUCUGAGCUGGAGAGG